GAUGAACGCUGGCGGUGUGCCUAAUACAUGCAAGUCGAGCGGCAGCACGGUCUUCGGACUGGUGGCGAGCGGCGGACGGCUGAGUAACGCGUGGGAACGUGCCCCAAAGUGAGGGAUAACUCCGGGAAACCGGAGCUAAUACCGCAUAUGAUCUUCGGAUUAAAGUAUUUAUACGCUUUGGGAGCGGCCUGCGUACGAUUAGAUUGUUGGUGAGGUAAAGGCUCACCAAGUCGACGAUCGUUAGCUGGUCUGAGAGGAUGAUCAGCCAGACUGGGACUGAGACACGGCCCAGACUCCUACGGGAGGCAGCAGUAAGGAAUCUUCCACAAUGGGCGAAAGCCUGAUGGAGCAACACCGCGUGAAGGAUGAAGGCCCUCGGGUCGUAAACUUCUUUUAUGAGCGAAGAAUAUGACGGUAACUCAUGAAUAAGGGUCGGCUAACUACGUGCCAGCCGCCGCGGUAA
rnacentral:rRNA from 1 species